rnacentral:rRNA from 1 species
AACGAACGCUGGCGGCAGGCUUAACACAUGCAAGUCGAACGCAUCGCAAGAUGAGUGGCAGACGGGUGAGUAACGCGUGGGAACAUACCCUUUUCUACGGAAUAGCUCUGGGAAACUGGAAUUAAUACCGUAUACGCCCUACGGGGGAAAGAUUUAUCGGGGAAGGAUUGGCCCGCGUUGGAUUAGCUAGUUGGUGGGGUAAAGGCCUACCAAGGCGACGAUCCAUAGCUGGUCUGAGAGGAUGAUCAGCCACAUUGGGACUGAGACACGGCCCAAACUCCUACGGGAGGCAGCAGUGGGGAAUAUUGGACAAUGGGCGCAAGCCUGAUCCAGCCAUGCCGCGUGAGUGAUGAAGGCCUUAGGGUUGUAAAGCUCUUUCACCGAUGAAGAUAAUGACGGUAGUCGGAGAAGAAGCCCCGGCUAACUUCGUGCCAGCAGCCGCCGCCGUAA